rnacentral:rRNA from 1 species
UACGAGGGGGCGAGCGUUGUUCGGAAUUAUUGGGCGUAAAGGGUGCGUAGGCGGUUCCGCAAGUCCUGUGUGAAAUCUUCGGGCUCAACUCGAAGUCUGCAGCGGGAAACUGCGGGGCUUGAGUGUGGGAGAGGUGAGUGGAAUUCCUGGUGUAGCGGUGAAAUGCGUAGAUAUCAGGAGGAACACCUGCGGUGUAGACGGCUUUCUGGACCAUUGUUGACGCUGAGACACGAAAGCGUGGGUAGCAAACAGG